rnacentral:rRNA from 1 species
UACGAGGGGGGCGAGCGUUGUUCGGAAUUAUUGGGCGUAAAGGGUGCGUAGGCGGUUCCGCAAGUCCUGUGUGAAAUCUUCGGGCUCAACUCGAAGUCUGCACGGGAAACUGCGGGGCUUGAGUGUGGGAGAGGUGAGUGGAAUUCCCGGUGUAGCGGUGAAAUGCGUAGAUAUCAGGAGGAACACCUGUGGCGAAGGCGGCUUUCUGGUCUGUAACUGACGCUGAGGCGCGAAAGCGUGGGGAGCAAACAGG